AUUGAACGCUGGCGGCAUGCCUUACACAUGCAAGUCGAACGGCAGCACGGGUGCUUGCACCUGGUGGCGAGUGGCGAACGGGUGAGUAAUACAUCGGAACGUACCUUAUCGUGGGGGAUAACGCAGCGAAAGUUGCGCUAAUACCGCAUACGCCCUGAGGGGGAAAGCGGGGGACCGUAAGGCCUCGCGCGAUUAGAGCGGCCGAUGUCUGAUUAGAUUGUUGGUGGGGUAAAAGAUCACCAAGGCGCUGAUCAGUAGCUGGUCUGAGAGGACGAACAGCCACACUGGGACGGAGCCAGGCCCCAGCCUCUUAGGGGAGGACGCAGUGGGAAAUUUUGGAAAAUGGGGGCAACCCUACUCCAGCAAUGCCGCUUGAUGAAAGAAGCCCUUCGGGUUGUAAAGCUCUUUUUUCGGGGAAGAAACAGCAGCUCUAACACAGUCUGCGAAUGACGGUACCUGAAGAAUAAGCACCGGCUAACUACGUGCCAGCCGCCGCCGUAA
rnacentral:rRNA from 1 species